GCGGUAAUACGUAGGGUCCGAGCGUUGUCCGGAAUUACUGGGCGUAAAGAGCUCGUAGGUGGUUUGUCGCGUUGUUCGUGAAAACUCACAGCUUAACUGUGGGCGUGCGGGCGAUACGGGCAGACUAGAGUACUGCAGGGGAGACUGGAAUUCCUGGUGUAGCGGUGGAAUGCGCAGAUAUCAGGAGGAACACCGGUGGCGAAGGCGGGUCUCUGGGCAGUAACUGACGCUGAGGAGCGAAAGCGUGGGGAGCGAACAGGAUUAGAUACCCUGGUAGUCCACGCCGUAAACGGUGGGUACUAGGUGUGGGUUUCCUUCCUUGGGAUCCGUGCCGUAGCUAACGCAUUAAGUACCCCGCCUGGGGAGUACGGCCGCAAGGCUAAAACUCAAAGAAAUUGACGGGGGCCCGCACAAGCGGCGGAGCAUGUGGAUUAAUUCGAUGCAACGCGAAGAACCUUACCUGGGUUUGACAUGCACAGGACGCCGGCAGAGAUGUCGGUUCCCUUGUGGCCUGUGUGCAGGUGGUGCAUGGCUGUCGUCAGCUCGUGUCGUGAGAUGUUGGGUUAAGUCCCGCAACGAGCGCAACCCUUGUCUCAUGUUGCCAGCACGUAAUGGUGGGGACUCGUGAGAGACUGCCGGGGUCAACUCGGAGGAAGGUGGGGAUGACGUCAAGUCAUCAUGCCCCUUAUGUCCAGGGCUUCACACAUGCUACAAUGGCCGGUACAAAGGGCUGCGAUGCCGUGAGGUGGAGCGAAUCCUUUCAAAGCCGGUCUCAGUUCGGAUCGGGGUCUGCAACUCGACCCCGUGAAGUCGGAGUCGCUAGUAAUCGCAGAUCAGCAACGCUGCGGUGAAUACGUUCCCGGGCCUUGUACACACCGCCCGUCACGUCAUGAAAGUCGGUAACA
rnacentral:rRNA from 1 species